GAUGAGCGCUGGCGGCGUGCUUAACACAUGCAAGUCGAACGGGAAUUACUUUAUUGAAACUUCGGUCGAUUUAAUUUAAUUCUAGUGGCGGACGGGUGAGUAACGCGUGGGUAACCUGCCUUGUACAGGGGGAUAACAGUCAGAAAUGGCUGCUAAUACCGCAUAAGCGCACAGGACCGCAUGGUCCGGUGUGAAAAACUCCGGUGGUAUAAGAUGGACCCGCGUUGGAUUAGCUUGUUGGCAGGGUAACGGCCUACCAAGGCGACGAUCCAUAGCCGGCCUGAGAGGGUGAACGGCCACAUUGGGACUGAGACACGGCCCAGACUCCUACGGGAGGCAGCAGUGGGGAAUAUUGCACAAUGGGGGAAACCCUGAUGCAGCGACGCCGCGUGAAGGAAGAAGUAUCUCGGUAUGUAAACUUCUAUCAGCAGGGAAGAGAUUGACGGUA
rnacentral:rRNA from 1 species